AUGGAGCAGGCCCUCCGCGACCACGCGCCGGCCAGGGCGGCGGGGCGCAGGCCGACGCGGUUCACGGCUCUGGAGCUCGCGGCGGCCGAGCAGCUCCUCCACCUCAGCGAGAGCAGCUGCUCCUCGGGCGCCGCCUUCACGCCGCUAGGAUCGAGGACCGCCGCGUCGGCGGCCUGCUCCUCCUCCUCGCCUCCCUCCGUCAACGCUCCGCCUGCCGCAACCGCGCGCGACCCCGUCGUCGGCCUCGGCGCGGAUCACGAGGAGGAGGACGACGAGCAGGAGGUGGGCGGGAGGCCGCGCGUGAGCAGGAGGUACCGCUCGGUAGCGGAGUUGUACGACGCUACGGAUCCGGCUGGAGCGCGCCGGAGAAAGGGCAAGGCCGUCGCCGGCGGCACAACGGAGGAGAGGAGGAAGUAG
rnacentral:rRNA from 1 species